GCCAGUGUGGUGCAGAGGUUUGAGCAUUAGACUGCAACACUGGAGAUCAGGGUUCAAAUACCUGCUUUGCCA